UUCAAGUACUGAUUCCUCAUUGUUCUUUUUCAGAUCCAAGACAUAAGUGCUGAUGAUGCUCAUUUGCGUAGAUGAUAUGAUAGUCACUAGAAAUGACACAAGAGUCAUUAAAUCAAUUUGUGGAGAAGUUAUCUACAUUGAAGGACUGUGGCUCAUUACAUUGCUUUUAGGGAUUUGAAGUCUUUAGAGAUGAAAGCAGCAUUUACUUAGAAAUGAUACAUAGAGGAUCAUCUUUUAAUGGACAGGCCUACGGAACACUAAAUCUUGUCCAACUCUAGUAACUGUUGGAAGGAGUCUUGUGCCUCAGUGUAGAUCAAGGCUAGACAUUGCAGUUGUGAAUAAACGAAGUCAGUUCUUGGAGGAUCCUAGAGCCCAAAUUUGCAGGCAGUCAAAGAGAGUCCUAAGGUAUCUGAAAGGGACAGUGGAACGUAGUUUGCACAUCAAAUAAAGUAUAGGCCUAUUUGGCUUUUCUGACGCAGACUGGGUGCAUCCCUGAUGAUAGAUAUCUGUUGCUCAUUACUGUCUUCCAUAGGAACACUAUAGCAUCUUGGUAUUCUCAACAAUGUGGUUGCAAGAUCAAGUACUGAGUCUGAAUACAUGGCUUUGACUCGAGUCUCCUGUGUAUCGGCUUCGUUAGAAUCAUUGCUGAAAGAGUUCUCAUUUCCCUUGCCUCUGGUUCCUAUUACUUGGUGUGUGAACAUCAGUUCUUGUGCUCUAGCAUCCAAUCCAUUAUACCAUUCUAGGACUAAACAUAUUGAAGCUGACAUUCACUUUCUUUGUGAUCAAAUUCUAGGAAAGCAAUUAGAAGUAAGAUAUAUGCUAUCAAGUGGCUGAUUGUUCAACGAAGGUAAUGAUUCGUUCCAAGUUCAGUUCCUUGAAGGAGAAACUUGGGGUUGUCAAAAGGGCACCAUCCUAUUUAAGGGAGUUGUUGAAUCAAUUAGCUAACACCUAAUGGAGGCUAGUGAGCUAGUUUAAGAGACCGAGGCCACCACUAUUUGUGCAACAGAAAGCCAGUCAGUUCCCUUCUUUAACUCAGAAUAUUUUUCUUCUCAAUUCCAUGUGUUUGUUAUUUGAUUAUUU
rnacentral:lncRNA from 1 species